rnacentral:lncRNA from 1 species
AUGACAGAUGAAGCUGCAGUAGUAGCCCCAGUAGUGAUGACAGAUGAAGCUGCAGUAGUGAUGACAGAUGAAGCUACAGUAGUAGCCCCAGUAGUGAUGACAGAUGAAGCUACAGUAGUAGCCCCAGUAGUGAUGACAGAUGAAGCUACAGUAGUAGUCCCAGUAGUGAUGACAGAUGAAGCUGCAGUAGUAGCCCCAGUAAUGAUGACAGAUGAAGCUGCAGUAGUAGCCCCAGUAGUGAUGACAGAUGAAGCUACAGUAGUGAUAACAGACCUCAACAGCGACAUCAGAACAGCGAUCAGAACAGCGAUCACUAACCUUCUAGACAUCAGAACAGCGAUCACUAACCUCCUAGACAUCAGAACAGCGAUCACUAACCUUCUGGACAUCAGAACAGCGAUCACUAACCUUCUAGACAUCAGAACAGCGAUCACUAACCUUCUGGACAUCAGAACAGCGAUCACUAACCUUCUAGACAUCAGAACAGCGAUCACUAACCUUCUAGACAUCAGAACAGCGAUCACUAACCUUCUAGACAUCCAAACAGCGAUCACUAACCUUCUGGACAUCAGAACAGCGAUCACUAACCUCCUAGACAUCAGAACAGCGAUCACUAACCUUCUAGACAUCAGAACAUCGAUCACUAACCUUCUAGACAACCAAACAGCGAUCACUAACCUUCUAGACAUCCGAACAUCGAUCACUAACCUCCUAGACAUCAGAACAGCGAUCACUAACCUUCUGGACAUCAGAACAGCGAUCACUAACCUCCUAGACAUCAGAACAGCGAUCACUAACCUUCUGGACAUCCGAACAUCGAUCACUAACCUCCUAGACAUCAGAACAGCGAUCACUAACCUUCUAGACAUCCGAACAGCGAUCACUAACCUCCUAGACAUCAGAACAGCGAUCGCUAACCUUCUGGACAUCAGAACAGCGAUCACUAACCUCCUAGACAUCAGAACAGCGAUCACUAACCUUCUAGACAUCCAAACAUCGAUCACUAACCUCCUAGACAUCAGAACAGCGAUCACUAACCUUCUGGACAUCAGAACAGCGAUCACUAACCUUCUAGACAUCCAAACAGCGAUCACUAACCUUCUAGACAUCCGAACAUCGAUCACUAACCUCCUAGACAUCAGAACAGCGAUCACUAACCUUCUGGACAUCAGAACAUCGAUCACUAACCUUCUAGACAUCCGAACAUCGAUCACUAACCUCCUGGACAUCAGAACAUCGAUCACUAACCUUCUAGACAACCAAACAGCGAUCACUAACCUUCUGGACAUCAGAACAGCGACCACUAACCUUCUGGACAUCAGAACAGCGAUCACUAACCCUCUAGACAUCCGAACAGCGAUCACUAACCUUCUAGACAUCAGAACAGAGAUCACUAACCUUGUUUUGGUUGAAGAUUUCUACUUCACCAGUUGGCAGCUGUACUGUUCAUUCCAUACCAGGCUCUAA